ensembl:lncRNA ZFP28-DT ZFP28 divergent transcript
AGACCGGGUGAGGCGGGGCUUGCGGCGAGGGGUGGGACCGCAGGGCCGGAGUAAAAGGGUGCUUGGCUGUGACAGGUGCUAAGGGCCUGGGCGUCAGCUCCUUGCGGGAGCGUCACUGCCGACCGGGAAGGGAAAGGCAAUCUUGGGGGCCUCCGGAGUCCGGAGGAUCACUCUGAUGGGUGAUGUGUGUGGGCUAGGAAGGGGGAUGUAGAGAGCUUGUGGGAUUGUUUUGGGUGCCCCCUCACCUUCUCCCAUUAUCUCUGGCUACACGGGCCUCCCAUCCUCCAAAAUACCAUUUUCCAUUUUGUAACCUAUGUAUUUGCACGUCCUGGGUCGAAAUAGUCUAACCCCAAAUUUUCGUCUGGGCUGGCUCCUUUAUGCCAUUCACUUGUCAUCGCCUCAGAGAGGGCUGCCUAACGUCUCAAAAAUACCAGCCCUGGCGACCUCUUAAAGUUCCCUUCCUGUGUGAAUCACGGUCUGAAGUUAGCUGAUGGAUUUAUUCUUGAACAUGUUUAGGACCGGUCUCUCCCCCAGGGGCCUUAUCAGAACUGGAGAGCUUCAUCCUGGGAGCCAAGGGCCUUGCUGGCUCACAGGCAGUGAUGCUGUUACACCAGUCAUCACAGAUGCACUGACCUCUGCACGCCCAGUCACACUGCACGCCUGGUCUCCUUACUCUUGAAUUGAUUUCUUUCAGGUCUCCUGGCCUCAGUGAUGGAAUUAAGAUGACUUCUAUCUCUGAAUCCAAGGGUGACUGAAAGCCGCAAGCUGCAGAAAGGACAAGGUC